UCUUCUUUCUUCUCUCUCUCUCUCUCUGAUUCUCUCAUCGACGACGGUGGCACAGAAGAAUCGAUCCUCUUUCUUCUUCUUCUUCAUGGAUCGGUGUGGUUUUUAUCUACUCUACCCUAAGUGAUGUACGUAAGAAGGAUUCAUUGAGAAGGCGUUUUGAGUAAUGGAUUCUGCAAAGAAGUUUAGGGUUUGAUAUCCUUUAGGUGGCUUUAGAUUUUCUCAAUCAAAAAGAAAAGAAAAGAAGUUUAGGGUUUCAUGUCCUCCCAAGAUAUAAUGGCUCGACGUGGAAACUGAUGGAUGUGGAAACGAUCAAACAGAGGGAUUAAACAGAGCAGAUCGAUGAUGGAUGGUUCUACGUGCCAGAGACGAAUUGAAAUAAAAAAAAGUGGCUUGCGUCUCGACCAUCACAUCUAUCAGGUCGUGUUUCCCACUCAAAAGACGAAGCCUCCUCUAUUUUUAAAAGCAACAGCUACGCUACAAAAAAAAAACUUAAUGAAUGAGAGAUGAUAAUGGGAAUCGAAAGCUACACUGAAAAAAAACCUGAAUAAAUGAGAGAUGAUAAUGAGAAUCGAAAGCUACACUGGUAAUAUAAAAAGUGAAGCUCACUCAGGAGUCAGGACUCUAAUUGCGCCAAGAAUCCAUGCAUCCUCAUCCACAUGCGUCAUCUUUCAUAGCGCUUACCAAGUUACCAUCCCAUGUAGAAACGUGAGUUUUUUUUUUUUUUUUUUUUNUGUAAAAACUAACCGAAUUUUGGAU